GAUGAACGCUAGCGGCAGGCCUAACACAUGCAAGUCGAGGGAGAAGCCCUUUCGGGGGCAGAAACCGGCGCACGGGUGCGUAACGCGUAUGCAACCUACCUUUCACAGGGGGAUAGCCCGAAGAAAUUUGGAUUAAUACCCCAUAAUAUUAUUGGAUGGCAUCAUUUGAUAAUUAAAACUGCGGUGGUGAAGGAUGGGCAUGCGUCCUAUUAGCUAGUUGGAGUGGUAACGGCACCCCAAGGCUACGAUAGGUAGGGGUCCUGAGAGGGAGAUCCCCCACACUGGUACUGAGACAGGGACCAGACUCCUACGGGAGGCAGCAGUGAGGAAUAUUGGUAAAUGGUCGGAAGACUGAACCAGCCAUGCCGCGUGCAGGAAGAAUGCCUUAUGGGUUGUAAACUGCUUUUAUAUGGGAAGAAUAAGGUGUACGUGUACAUUGAUGACGGUACCAUAUGAAUAAGCAUCGGCUAACUCCGUG
rnacentral:rRNA from 1 species